rnacentral:lncRNA from 1 species
GUUGAAGGUCGUACAAAAUAUUGUUAUUUUCUAGGUGGUCCAUCAUACUACUGGCUAUUAUGUGUUCCAUGAUCUUACAAAGUAUACAUGUGAGAGAUAUGGGUCUAUAAUUUAUUGCGUUGUGUUUAUCACCUUUUUUAAAAACAGGACAGACAUUUGCAUGUUUCCAAUCUUUUGGGAUUUUUCCUGUGUCGAGUGAUUUUUGGAAGAUGUAGGUGAUUGCAGUUGAAAUGUCGCUACUAAGUUCUUUAAGUACUGUUCCGCAAAUUUGAUCUGGACCAGUUGCUUUAUUAGGAUUGAUCUUGUCCAGUAAUUUUAUGACACCCUUCUUGGAGAUGGUGAUCUUGGUCAUUUUUGGAUAGUUCGAUUUCCCUUUAUCCGGAAUAGGUUCACUUGUUGUUUCUUCGUAAAAUGCUUUUUGAAACUGACUAUUUAGGAUGUUAGUUUUGUCAGAUGUAUUGUCAGUAAGUUUACCAUCUUUUCUAAGUGCAGCAAUGCCUGUAUUGUCAUUUUUCAUACUUUUUAUGUAUGUAAACAAGUUCUUAGGUUGUUUUUUUCUGAUGUUGUCAUCUGGUUCAUCUACUGGCAGGUCAAAUAUCAUUUUUUCAAUGUAAUUCCAGUAGGCAUUACGCAUUUCUUUUUGUAAUGUUCUUUUUAAGUAUUUGUAUUUUUUCAUUUGCUCUGGACUGUUUUUGCUCUUUUUAUGUAGUCUUUUAACUUUGUUUAUCAUGAUUUUUAAUGUUUU